ACCCCCGCGCAUGCGUAGUGUAGUUUUGCAAGGCCAGCGUUAUGUAAAUGCAGUAGCUAGGCGGAGAGGCGGAGAUUUCCCGGAAAAUGUAUGAAUAUUCAUGUCUUAAGGUACAUAAAAGAUGAACUUUUGUUUUAGGGUAUGCACGACAGGCGGAGCUAUCCCCCGUGCAUCCAGCGCCGUAAUAAAGAACGCCUGCUUUCUAAUACUAGAAAUGGAGUAUUGGAGAGUUUAUUAUCCCAUAUUUGUUGACAGUUUCUGGUGACCCAGGUGGGACACUGCUUCUGAACCUGGAUGGAUCCGCGGGAUCAUAGGACCUCCAACCGGCACCGAGGGAUUUUCGGGGACAACCUCUGAUCCCCGGACUGAAGAGCUCUGAGCAAGACCCCUGGGAAGGUUUCACCUGGCUCCGGGAGUCCUCGACCAACAUUUGGGAUCCUGGAAGAGACCGGCGGGAUACUUUUCCAAACAGCUGGAUGACGUGAGUAAAGGCUGGCCGUCCUGCCUCCGGGCUGUAGCGGCGACGGUAUUGGUGAUUCAAGAGGCCCGGAAGUUCGCUAUGGGGUAACGGAUGACCAUGUCCAUGCCCUGUAUGCUGACAGCAGUACUGGAGCAAAAGGAAAUCACUGGUUAUCACCGAGCAGAAGGAUGAAAUAUCAAGCCAUCUUAUUGGAGAUGGAUGAUGGGAACCUAAAGGUUGCAGGGAAUCCAUUAUACUCGAGUAAAACCAGCAUCAGACCCAAAAGAACCUCAGUGGAAGGUCACCUCGUCAGAUCAAGAUCCUCUCCGAAUAAAAUUCAAAAAUCAACAUGAAAAUCAGCCAGACAUACAUAGAUGACGAGUUUGAGACCCAACGGAAAGGAAUCAAUUCGAUCGAGAGGGCAGCGGACGAGUGGGAAAAACGAAAGGAGUCUUCCCACUCGUGGUGGAAUUGGUUAAUCUCACGGCUCCCAAACCUAACGUGGCUGAAGAAAUUAUUUGUGCCACCAAUGGCCGAGAGUCACCCAGAGGCACCGGGCACUGGUCUGCGGGGCCUUGUCCCCCCAUCGCACUUCGUGCUCCGUCCCCCCGGCCCCAGCACCAGGACCCUGGAGGCGGAGCUUGAGGCUGAGAAGAGGCGGGGCCAGGCCUUGGAGGCGGAGCUUGAGGCUGAGAAGAGGCGGGGCCAGGCCUUGGAGGCGGAGCUUGAGGCUGAGAGGAGGCGGGGCCAGGCCUUGGAGGCGGAGCUUGAGGCUGAGAGGAGGCGGGGCCAGGCCUUGGAGGCGGAGCUUGAGGCUGAGAGGAGGCGGGGCCAGGCCUUGGAGGCAGAGCUUGAGGCUGAGAAGAGGCGGGGCCAGGCCUUGGAGGCGGAGCUUGAGGCUGAGAGGAGGCGGGGCCAAGCCCAGGGGGCGGAGCCUGAUGGGGAGCAGCCCCUGGAGGAGUGCCAGGCUCAGGUGCUGCUCCAGGCCCGGCUCAGCGCUCUUGGCCACAUCCUGACCCUGCAGGAGCAUGAGCUGAGCCGUGAGCUUCCUCCCACUGGAGUGCCCAUGGCGGUGACCCCCCCCCGGCUGCAGGCACUCCUGGGGCGCUGGCGGCAGAAGGUCUUCGCCCUCCUGGUGCAGCUGCGGGUGCAGGAGGAAGCGCAGCGGGUGCUGCGGGCACAGGUGGGGGCACUGGGGGCGGCAGUGGCAGCGGGGACACGCCGGGUGACGCGGCUGGAGCUGAGCCUGCGCGAGAGAGCGGCCACCGCCGAGCUGCAGCGUCGGGACACCAAGCGCCUGGCGCAGGAGGUGACACGGCAGCGGGGACGGGCAGAGGCGGCUGAGGAGGCACUGGGGGGAUUGGCCCGGGCGGCCGCAAGGCUGGCCGGGGUGGUGACAACACGCGAGGCCGAGGUGACAGCAGCCACCAGGACCAUGGUCACCCUCAGCGCCCGUCUGCGCCGGGCAGGACGGCAGCUCCGCGUCCUCCAGGCGGGUGGCCCUGGACUCACCCUGUCCCCAGGGCUGGUGACCCUGGUGUCACCCUGUUCCCUGUCCCCAGGGCUGGUAGCCCCCCCGGCGGUGGCCUCGGACUGUCCACGGUGGCAGCAGGACCUGGCGGGGGAUGACUCGGUGGCCAAGGUGACAGGCAGCACCCAUCUGCUCACAGGGACGGUGGCCAGGGUCCGGCACAGCGCGGUGGCCCCGGGGGUGGCUGAGGAGGUGACACACGGCCAGGUGAUAAAGGACAAGGUGGUGCGGGACAAGAUGGCACGGGACGAGGCCACCCCCCGUGGAGACAGGACGGGUCCCCCCCUGGGCAGAGUUUCCCCUCCGAGCCCCCAAUGUCCCCCCCCGUGUCCCUCCAGCAGCUCUGGGCUCCCUCGUGACGCAACUGCAGGCGCUGGGCGCCGCCAUCCUCGGGGACGAUGGUGACAUCGGUGACCCCCCUUGACCCCCCCCCCAACCCUGCUGCGGACCCAGGCAUUGGGUUCCUGCGCGGGUAGCGGAAAGAAGGCAGCAGAAGCAGACGUGAGCUAAAAUCCCUUUUAUUGUCAGAAAUAAGGUGCCUCUCGGCCGGGAGCCCGCGAAGGAUCCUGUGUUACACUCUUGAUUCCUUUUAUACAAUUUUAAGACCACUCACGUGCUCAUUUUUUCACGCCAUCGCUUGUUACUGUUCACUUCGGAGUAUUUGUUCACGCAAACGCUCUGCGCAAGCGAGCUUAAUGCAUAUUUCUUAGCUGAAUUUGCACUAUUUUUGUGGCAACUUUGCUGCUUUCAGCCCGUUUUGGUCUGGUCUCUUCCAACAAGAUCCUCUUGUAGAGGCGAGGUUGGUCAAGCUCAUCCUUGGAGCUUCAUGAAAGACAGGUCCUGCUUGACCAACCUGAUCUUCUACGACAAGGUGGAUGAGGGAAAGGCUAUGGAUGUUCUCCCUGGACUUCAGUAAAGCCUUUGGUGCCGUUUCCCACAGCGUUCUACUGGAGAAACUGGCUGCUCGUGGCUUGGGUGGGUAAAAAAAACUGGUUGAAUGGCUGGGCGCAAAGAGUUGUGGUGAUUGGAGUUACACCCAGUUGGCGGUCGGUCACAAGCGGUGUUCUCCGUGGCUCAGUCCUGGGGCCGGUUCUCUUUAAUAUCUUAAUGAUCUGGAUGAGGCGAUCGAGUGCACCCUCAGUAAGUUUGACGACAACACCAAGUUGAGUGGAAGUGUUGAUCUGCUGGAGGGUAGGAAGGCUCUACAGAGGGAUCUGGACCGAUGGGCCGAGGCCAACUGGAUGAGGUUCAACAAGGCUCAGUGCCGGGUCCUGUCCUUGGGCCACACCAACCCCAGGCAACGCUACAGGCGUGGGGAAGAGCGGCUGGAGAGCUGCCCGGUGGAAAAGGACCUGGAGGUGUUUGUCAACAGCCGGCUGAACGUGAGCCAGCAGCGUGCCAAGGUGGCCAACGUUGAGGUGCUGGAGCGUGUCCCAAGACCGGCAACCGAGUGGUGAAGGGUUCAGAGCACGAGUCUGAUGAGGAGCAGCUGAGGGAACUGGGGUGGUUGAGUCUGGAGAAGAGGAGGCUGAGGGGAGACCUGAUCGCUCUACAACUCCCUGAAAGGAGGGUGUAGCCAGGUGGGGGGUCGGUCUCUUCUCCCAAGGAACAAGCGAUAGGAAGAGAAGAAAAGUCCUCCAGUUGUGCCGGGGGAGGUUUAGAUUGGAUAUUAGGAAAAAAUUCUUCACUGAAAGGGUUGUCAGUCCCUGGGCCAGGCUGCCCAGGGCAGCGGUGGAGUCCCCAUCCCUGGAGGGAUUUAAAAGACGUGGAGAUGUGGUGCUUGGGGACGUGGGUGAGUGGUUGGGCUUGGGAGUGUUGGGUUAACGGUUGGACUUGGUGAUCUGAAAGGCCUUUUCCAACCUAAAUGAUUCUAUGAAUUCCCCCCUUUUUGUGCAAACUUUAAAUUGGAGCAGAAUAGUAUUUAUAUCCAUCAAUUUGAGCAAGACAGGCUGAGUAUAUUUGAGUGAACCAGCAGAAUGCGAUCCCUA